GACGUAGGGCGCGAGCGUUGUCCGGAUUUAUUGGGCGUAAAGAGCUCGUAGGCGGCUCGUUGCGUCAGCUGUGAAAACCCGCAGCUCAACUGUGGGCUUGCAGCUGAUACGGGCGGGCUAGAAUUCGGUGAGGGGAGACUGGAAUUCCUGGUGUAGCGGUGAAAUGCGUAGAUAUCAGGAGGAACACCUGUGGUGUAGACAGCUUACUGGACCACUUCUGACGCUGAGACACGAAAGCGUGGGUAGCAAACAGG
rnacentral:rRNA from 1 species